GCAUAUCAUAGCGGAGGAAAAGAACCACAGGGAUUGCCUUAGUAACGGCGAAGUGAAGCGGCAACAGCUCAAAUUUGAAAGCUGGCUCUCGGGCCCGCAUUGUAAUUUGCAGAGGAUGCUUCUGGCGACGCGCCUUCCGAGUUCCCUGGAACGGGACGCCAUAGAGGGUGAGAGCCCCGUCCGGUCGUGCGCCUAGCCUCUGUGAAGCUCCUUCGACGAGUCGAGUAGUUUGGGAAUGCUGCUCAAAAUGGGAGGUAUACGUCUUCUAAAGCUAAAUACCGGCCAGAGACCGAUAGCGCACAAGUAGAGUGAUCGAAAGAUGAAAAGCACUUUGAAAAGAGAGUUAAAAAGUACGUGAAAUUGUUGAAAGGGAAGCGCUCAUGACCAGACUUGGGCUGGCCCGAUCAUCCGGCGUUCUCGCCGGUGCACUCGGGCCGCCCAGGCCAGCAUCAGCUUUCGCCGGGGGAUAAAGGCGGCGGGAAUGUGGCUCCCUCGGGAGUGUUAUAGCCCGCCGUGCAAUACCCUGGUGGGGGCUGAGGUUCGCGCGUAUGCACGGAUGCUGGCGUAAUGGUUAUCAGCGACCCGUCUUGAAACACGGACCAAGGAGUCGUCUUCGUAUGCGAGUGUUCGGGUGUCAAACCCCUACGCGGAAUGAAAGUGAACGCUGGUGAGAGCUUCGGCGCAUCACCGACCGAUCCUGAUGUUCUCGGACGGAUUUGAGUAAGAGCAUACGGGGCCGGACCCGAAAGAAGGUGAACUAUGCCUGUAUAGGGUGAAGCCAGAGGAAACUACUGGUGGAGGCUCGCAGCGG
rnacentral:rRNA from 1 species